AUGGAAAGGUCCUGACCCCAGUAAUUGUCUGGAGUCGGGGGUCUGUUUGUGUGUUUCCACAGGGAGAACAGCAGCCGAUUUGGAUUCCAGAGAGAUUAACUAAAGCGAUUUCUACAGACCAAAAAUAAGAUGAUUUGGCUCAAAUCCAUAACAGCUGAUAUCCAGAACUCCAGUUUGGCUACCCUUACAUCUGCGACAGAACCAGGAUGCUUUUUUCAAUAUCUAUUUUAUUAUUGCCCUUUCCCACAUCAUGAAGUUCUAUUUUGUUUUUUGAGCUCAUACAGACCUAGGUUAAUGUUUUGCUGAUCAGUUCUAUUUUUUGACUAUAGAGUUUUUAAACAUUGCAAUGGAGAUUUCACCUGUAAAAAGUUAUAAGU
rnacentral:lncRNA from 1 species